rnacentral:rRNA from 1 species
GCAACCUGCCCUGGACUCUGGGAUAAGCGCUGGAAACGGCGUCUAAUACUGGAUAUGAGACGUGAUCGCAUGGUCGUGUUUGGAAAGAUUUUUCGGUCUGGGAUGGGCUCGCGGCCUAUCAGCUUGUUGGUGAGGUAAUGGCUCACCAAGGCGUCGACGGGUAGCCGGCCUGAGAGGGUGACCGGCCACACUGGGACUGAGACACGGCCCAGACUCCUACGGGAGGCAGCAGUGGGGAAUAUUGCACAAUGGGCGGAAGCCUGAUGCAGCAACGCCGCGUGAGGGAUGACGGCCUUCGGGUUGUAAACCUCUUUUAGCAGGGAAGAAGCGAAAGUGACGGUACCUGCAGAAAAAGCGCCGGCUAACUACGUGCCAGCAGCCGCGGUAAUACGUAGGGCGCAAGCGUUAUCCGGAAUUAUUGGGCGUAAAGAGCUCGUAGGCGGUUUGUCGCGUCUGCUGUGAAAUCCCGAGGCUCAACCUCGGGCCUGCAGUGGGUACGGGCAGACUAGAGUGCGGUAGGGGAGAUUGGAAUUCCUGGUGUAGCGGUGGAAUGCGCAGAUAUCAGGAGGAACACCGAUGGCGAAGGCAGAUCUCUGGGCCGUAACUGACGCUGAGGAGCGAAAGGGUGGGGAGCAAACAG